UUCUGCUCAAUGGUAUUCUAAAUAGCCGCAGUACCCUGACUGUGCAAAGGUAGCAUAAUCAUUUGGCUUAUAAUUGAAGUCUGGCAUGAAGGAAUAAAUGGGUGACCACUGUCUCAUGGCAAUUAUGUUAAUUUUCUUAAUAAGUGAAAAUUCUUAUAAAUAAACAAUAGACGAGAAGACCCUAGAAAUUUUUUGUACUUAGGUAUUCCCUAAUUCAUUUUGUUGGGGCGACAGAGUAACAUUUAACUUACUUUCCUAUAAGAAUUUUGUAUCAAGUUAAAAUAAAUUACUCUAGGGAUAACAGCAUAAUUUUUAUAAGUUUGUGACCUCGAUGUUGGACUAGGGACUUUAAUGUGCAGAAGACAUUAAAUUUGCUCUGUUCGAGCAGAACUCCCUACGUGAUCUGAGUUCAGACCGGA
rnacentral:rRNA from 1 species